UACGUAGGGUGCGAGCGUUGUCCGGAAUUAUUGGGCGUAAAGAGCUUGUAGGCGGUUUGUCGCGUCUGCCGUGAAAUUUCGGGGCUCAACCCCGAACUUGCGGUGGGUACGGGCAGACUAGAGUGUGGUAGGGGAGACUGGAAUUCCUGGUGUAGCGGUGAAAUGCGCAGAUAUCAGGAGGAACACCAGCGGCGAAGGCGGCGCUCUGGGCCGGAACUGACGCUGAGGAGCGAAAGCGUGGGGAGCAAACAGG
rnacentral:rRNA from 1 species